GCCACCCUGAAAGGCUGGACUUCACCGCUAAAUGCACAAGGAAAAUAUUCUUCUUGUAUUUAUUGAGUGUAAUUUUCCUUAGAAGUAAUACUUGCCUUGUUUCACUGUUGGGAAAUUUGGAUUCUUUUGCUUUGAGUAAAACAUUUCAAGUCAAAUGGUCAGCUCAUGUGCGCAGAGGGUGCAAGAACUCUCCCACAUACUGAGCCCUGAGUGCUGUGUAGAAAGGACCACGUCUCUUGACUCAGUACUGCUCCUGGAAUCCAGCCAGCGGCAGGAUCCAAGAGCCCAUGGGGACAGACUGGAGACCCAAGGAUACAGGCCCUGCGGGAAACCAGUGUAUAAAGCAGGGACCAAGGAAGAGUUACCUCAGUGAACUCAGUGCUCACCCGGUCUCAGGGGAGGUGAGGAUGAGGCAAGGCUGAAGACCCACAGUUGAGUAAGCAGAACGGAGAGGCUCUGUAGAGUAGACUGCAAGUCACGGCUGGCCCCAGGCAUGAAUGGAAAAGCACGACACAGAACCCUGUGGGGACAGACUGACGCGGUUCACUUAACUCUUGCUGCCUUUUCUUUUGGGCUGGCAUAGGAGUUACAGAUGAACUGUGACGUAGGAGUUACAGAUGAGCUGUGACGGCCAUUCCACACUUUCACAUCGCUCUUGUGGAUGACAUGAGGCUGAGUCUCAGGGCCUGACUCUUUUUUAAGAUGCCGUCUUCUCCCGCUGCUAUCCUAGGAAACCUCUGGGCCCCUUGACAGGUGGAAAGUGCUGGAAAUUUUGAAGCCCAUGUCUGUGAGACUCAUUUCCUUCGGAGAUCUACGGGACCCGGAUGAACAAAGGAGUUGAAGGGAAAGUUGUUUUGGCGUGAUUGACAGGUGGAUGAGCCAUGCUAAGUGAAGGAGGGAGGACGCAACUAGACCGUGGAGGGUUCCAUUCAUACAAAACACCCAGAAUGGGUCAAUUCAUUGAGUUUUAAAUACGCCUACCAUGCAUAUGGCAUUUAUGCUCAUAUCACGCAGUAUAUAUCAUACUGCUUAUAUACAUACAUUAUGUCGUAUACAUCCUCCUAUGGACAAUCAAAUAAUAUUACCUAUUCUCUUGGGCUUUCAGAUAGGGUAUUUUAAAUUAGGAACGGGGUAAUGAAAGCUUGGAGCAUCAGCUUAACUAGAUCAAGGGGGUCUGACGAUGAAUAAAAAUGAAUUGUUCUUUA